GAUGAAAGUGCAUUGCAUUACACCUGCGAGUCCGCUCACAACGAGGCACGUGCGGAUUCUGUUUCCGCACGUGCCUUGAGCAUUCAAUAAAUACCACUAAGCCGCCAAAGCCACUUACAGUAAGUAGAAUCCAAACAAAAAUGGCGGAAAAAGAAGCCAUUGAAGAAGCUCAGAGAAAGCUCCGAUCAGAGUUCCUUCAAGUCCUGCGUAGUAGGCGACCCUCUCAAGUUCCAUUAACAGUCGAACUCGCGAAGCCAGUGGCGACACCUUUGUUUCAGGACGCUCCUCCAUCGAUCAAAGAGAUCGAGAUAAUGGAGUCGUGUCCAAAGUCUGAUGUAGAGAACCUCGAAGACCUGCUCGAGGAGGAGAACCUCUACUUGAAUGUAGAGGAAGGAGAGCAAGGACGGUUGCCUUUAUUGAUAUUGCAGUUGAAGGAAAGCGAUAAGCAGAGAAAAAGGCCUGCAGUUGUUUUUCUUCAUAGGUCGUACAGUAACAAAGAAUCCAUGCGUCCAUUGCUCAAGGCGUACGCUUCACGAGGAUAUAUAGCAAUUUCAGUCGAUUCUCGUUACCAUGGAGAACGUGCAACCAGCGCAACCACCUAUCUUGAUGCCCUUAUAUCUGCAUGGAAAACCGGUGAGACGAUGCCAUUCAUAUAUGACACGGUCUGGGACUUGAUUAAAUUGGCAGAUUAUCUAACACACAGAGAGGAUAUAGACCCUUCUAGGAUAGGAAUCAGUGGAGAAUCAUUUGGAGGAAUGCACGCAUGGUUUGCUGCAGUUGCUGAUACUCGCUAUGCUGUGGUUGUUCCUCUGAUUGGUGUUCAGGGAUUUAGAUGGGCCAUAGACAACGAUAAAUGGCAGGCUCGAGUUAAUAGUAUAAAGCCUCUUUUUGAGGUGGCUCGUGAUGAUUUGGGUAAAGAUGUUAUUGACAAAGAAGUGGUGGAGAAGGUGUGGGACAGAAUAGCUCCUGGUUUAGCUUCCCAAUUUGAUUCACCCUAUUCAAUUCCAACUAUCGCACCACGUCCAUUGCUUAUUCUUGGUGGUGCGGAAGAUCGUCGGUGUCCUGUUGCAGGCUUGGAAAUUCCAAGGUCAAUGGCAAGCCAGGCAUAUGGAGAGUUUCAGUGUUUAGAUAAUUUAAAGUUUAUUGCAGAACCUGGAAUUUGGCACCGGUUAACGAGAUUUCAGGAAACAUGAUUAUUAUCUACUUUGAUAUCCACUUGUCAGAAAAAUUUGUCUCUCCUUGUAGAUCAGGAGAAAUUAGAUGCAAGAGUUUUCAUGAGCGAAAUUACAGUGUUCAAAAGGGGAGCACGAUGGAGUGGAUCGAAGGAUGGUCGAGGUUGCACAUGAGAUUUUGGUCUCUAAUGGAUUCCAUCGAAUUCCAUCUAAUCUCCUAAUCCUAAUUUGAGUCCCCCUCCCUACUAAUUUAGGGUACAGAGGUGGAAUCAAAAUCACUCUUUCUUAUGAUUAUUAAUUUACUAAUUUGUCCAUUAUUGAGAUUUUGUGUGAAUAAAAAAUAUCUCCCAAUUAAAAGUGAGAAACUAAUGUUUCUAGAUACAAAUAUUCUCUCAUAAACUAAGACUGAAAAUAAAUUCUUAAUCACAUGCAUAAACGACAUGAUUAGUUGCAAUGA